UCUGGCAGGAAUGACACUCUUGCCCUGCUGAGAAUGCUGUUCAGUCCUGGGAACAUUUCGAAGUUCUUGCUCUGAGUCAGA
rfam:Tinamus guttatus contig134568, whole genome shotgun sequence.